GCUGAGAUGCACCACCUCACACCUGAAUUCUUUCACAAUCGCUGCUUUCUCACCAUCCCUGACUGUGACAGCCCUCUACUUUCCAAUGCUCCGGAUUUUCAAGCAGCUAACUAAAGGAAAACCUAAGAACUGCGGGCAAGCCUCAAGGGUAGGGAAAGAGAAAUUUCACACAUUAUAUUUAUCAGAAGACACAAAAGCUGAGUGUCUGGAUCAAAACUACCAUGUGGCAAUCUUAAAGGUAAGACUAGCUUAUUUCUUCCAGGAGUGGAAAGGCGAGUUUUCCGGCCUUCAGGUAAGUAAGACUCUGCACGGCCAAAAAAGCCCACAGUUCCGGUUGUACAUUAGCCCCCUGCCUUCUCAUCCCCAACUCUCAUGGGGAUCCCUGUCUGCUGAGACCCAUAAAGAUAUCAGUCCUGUUUCCACAGCAGUUAUAUUGCUGCAAGGAGAAGGGAGGAUAGCCAGUAAAGUCCUAUAGACAUGAAGUUGCAAGAAAUGUCCAUCCAUAAAUAGUUACUACUUUGUUUUUUCCCUUUUUUUGGCUGUGCUAUAUGGAAUCUUAGUGCUCUGAUCAGGGAUCGAACCUGGGCCCCCUGCAGUGGAAGCACAGAGUCUCAACCACUGGACCGCCAGGAAAGUUCUUUACCCUUCUUAAUUACACAAAACAUUCUAGAGGAUUUGCAUGAAUUCUUAUAAUGAAUGAUAUAGAUAAAAUUAAGAUCUGAUAAUAUGG
rnacentral:lncRNA from 1 species